rnacentral:rRNA from 1 species
GGGGGGGGGGGGGGGGGGGGUGGGGGGGGGCGGGGCGGGGGGGGGCGCGCGGCUGGCUGGGUUGGGUGGUGGCGUGCGGGUGAGUCACCCGUGAGUACCCUGCGCUUGACUCUAGGGUAAGCCCGGGCAACUGGGUCUCAUACUGCAUAGUCACUUCUACCGCAUGGUUGUUGUUUGCAAGACUUUCGGUCAUGGCUCGACUCGCUGCCUAUCAGCUUCUUGGUGAGGUAAUGGCUCACCACGGCGACGACGGGUAGCCGGCCUGAGAGGGUGACCGGCCACACUGGGACUGAGACACGGCCCAGACUCCUACGGGAGGCAGCAGUGGGGAAUAGUGCACAAUGGGCGAAAGCCUGAUGCAGCGACGCCGCGUGCGGGAUGACGGCAUUCGGGUUGUAAACCUCUUUCAGUAGGGAAGAAGCGAAAGUGACGGUACCUGCAGAAGAAGCACCGGCUAACUACGUG